rnacentral:rRNA from 1 species
AUGAACGCUGGCGGCGUGCUUAACACAUGCAAGUCGAGCGAGAUUUUAUAAAAUUACUCUUCGGAGGAAGUUUUAUAGAUGAAAGCGGCGGACGGGUGAGUAACGCGUAGGCAACCUACCUUAUGCAAAGGGAUAGCCUCGGGAAACUGGGAUUAAUACCUUAUAAUACUUUGGGAUCGCAUGAUUCUAAAGUCAAAGAUUUAUCGGCAUAAGAUGGGCCUGCGUCUGAUUAGCUAGUUGGUAAGGUAACGGCUUACCAAGGCGACGAUCAGUAGCCGACCUGAGAGGGUGAUCGGCCACACUGGAACUGAGACACGGUCCAGACUCCUACGGGAGGCAGCAGUGGGGAAUAUUGCACAAUGGGCGAAAGCCUGAUGCAGCAACGCCGCGUGAGCGAUGAAGGCCUUCGGGUCGUAAAGCUCUGUCCUAAGGGAAGAAUAAAUGACGGUACCUUAGGAGGAAGCCCCGGCUAACUACGU